rnacentral:RNase_P_RNA from 1 species
UUAGGAAGCAGGGCGAUUACCCGCCUCUUAAGCCGUAAGGCAGUGAGGGCGGGAGGAAAGUCCAGGCAGCAGGAAGCAGGGUGGUCGCCGCAAGGCGACAGGAGGUGCCAGACGGUACCUCCCUAGUACAGAGCCACAGAGACUAUGUCGACCCCAGUACUUAAAAUGUACCGGGAUACGAGUGAAAAGGGGCAAUCCUCCCCGCUGCAACCUCCGAAUGGUACGUUAAUACCGGCUUCCGGGAGUACCGAAGUUUGAGGGCAUUAGACAGAUUAUCGCCGAGAAACAGAACCUGGCUUACUAGUUUCCUAAAGCA